GGCAGUGUAGUAUAAUCGGUAAGGUGCUAGCCUUGUAACCUAAAGGCCACAGGUUCGAUUCCCAGGUAGGACACUGCCA
rnacentral:tRNA from 1 species